CCAUUUAGUCAGCAUUAGAGUUCUAAACCCUAAACUGAACUUUUUCCAUUUAGUCAGCAUUAGGGUUCUAAUCCCUAAACAGAACUUUUUUCCGUUUAGUCAGUAUUAGGGUUUUAAACCCUAAACUGAACUCUUUCCUUUAGUCAGCAUGAGGGUUUUAAACCCUAAAUUGAACUCUUUCCUUUAGUCAGCAUUAGGGUUUUAAACCCUAAACUGAACUCUUUCCUUUAGUCAGCAUUAGGGUUUUAAACCCUAAACUGAACUUUUCCAUUUAGUCAGCAUUAGGGUUUUAAACCCUAAACUAAACUUUUUCCGUUUAGUCAGCAUUAGGGUUUGAAACCCUAAACUGAACUUUUCCUUUCAGUCAGUAUUAGGGCCCCAACCCUAAACUGAACUUUUCCUUUCAGUUAGUAUUAGGGCCCCAACCCUAAACUGAACUUUUUCCCAGUUAGUCAGUAUUAGGGUUUCAACUCUAAGCUGAACUUCUCCCCAGCUAGUCAGUAUUAGGGCUCCAACCCUGAACUGAGCAUUUUUACCUUAUGGCAAUAUUAGGGAUCCAAUCCCGAAGUUGCAUUUUGUGGUCCAAUACCUUCAUCAACUU
rnacentral:lncRNA from 1 species